rnacentral:piRNA from 1 species
UAGUUUUCUGGGCCUUUCCAACUCUGAGU